AACAAGGGGAAGGCUCUUUUGAGACAGCAGUAGAGAACUUUGUGCAAUGCACGAAAGUACGACACAGAGGGCCACUUUAUGGCCUGUCAAACUAAGUGCCAGCAGACGCGGUAAAACUUAGGGGUUUGUCUAAAUAAGGAAAAAGGCAUAAAGGAUGUGUAGGUAAAUUUAUUAAAGGGGGUAAAUGGAAUUUUUCUGAAGCGGUAGAAUGUGAAAAUAGAGAACAGACUUUUGGGGAGAAGACUAUUUACCACGAAGUAAACUAAAACAUUAAGGCAUGGGGGGCAAACAGGAUUAGAGACCCUGGUAGUCCAUUCUGUAAAUUUUGAAGAGAGUGAAAGCAGAACUCAAAGGAAAAAUCUUCCGCCUGAGUAGUACGAUCGCAAGAUUAAAAAUCAAAACUUUGGCUGUUCAUUAUUUCAAUUAGAGGAGCGUGUAGUUUAAUUCGAUGAUCCGCGGACACCUCACCCCAGCUUGAAUUUAGAACUGGUAUUGCAUGGCCGUCGUAAGUCUCUGUAUUAAACCAGGGAACUCAAUCGGGUUACCGAGAAAGUCAGGUUCUAUGAUCCGAAUGUUGGGGGAUUUAUGCGCUACAUUAUCUAAUAUAAAAAGAGAUUUGAAGUUAAACUUAAAAGUUAGAUUCAGAAAGUGACUGAAAGAAAACUGAAAGUUGUAUUUAAUAGUAAUCGGAAAGUAGAGCGUUCCGGUGAAUAGGUGAAGUGUUAGCACAAACUGCCCGUCAUCUUUUCCUAACGAGGUUUUUNGGACGCCUUGGUGGUAACAAAGGCCCACGAGGAAAGCAAGUCGUA
rnacentral:rRNA from 1 species